UGCAUGUCUGAGUACAGGCCUUACUAAGGCGAAACCGCGGAUGGCUCAUUAAAUCAGUCCUUAUUUAAUGGAUGUUGAUAAAUCACUACUUGGAUAACUGUGGUAAUUCUAGAGCUAAUACAUGCAACAGAGCUCCGACCCCGCUUUCUUUCUCGAGAGAGACUAGAGAGGCGGGGGAAGGGCGCAGUUAUUAGAUCACAAAAACCGGUCGGACUUCGGUCCGUUCCAAAAACCAAAACUAUGUGAUGACUCUGAAUAACCCAGCCGAGCGCUAAGGUCUUGGUACCGGCGCCGUAUCUUCCAAGUGUCUGCCUUAUCAGCUGUCGAUUGUAGGUUAUUCGCCUACAAUGGCUGUAACGGGUAACGGGGAAUCAGGGUUCGAUUCCGGAGAGGGAGCCUGAGAAACGGCUACCACAUCUAAGGAAGGCAGCAGGCACGCAAAUUACCCAAUCCCGGCUCGGGGAGGUAGUGACGAAAAAUAACGAUGCGGGACUCAUCCGAGGCCUCGCAAUCGGAAUGAGACUACAAUAAAUCCUUGGCCGAGGAUCGAUUGGAGGGCAAGUCUGGUGCCAGCAGCCGCGGUAAUUCCAGCUCCAAUAGCGUAUAUUAAAGUUGCUGCGGUUAAAAAGCUCGUAGUUGAGUUUCAAGUUCGGCCCGGAAAGUCCCAUCCUGGGUUCGUCUUGGACCCCCGUCAUGAAGGGAUCUCGCUACUCGAUUUGAACCGCGCGUCGGAGUGCUUUAUUUAAAGCGCGAAGAUGCCGCUCUCGCACGAUCUCGUUCGCUAUCCGUUGAGCUUGAUGUUGUGUGGCAAAAUUUAUAAAAAUUCUCUCUAAAUAUAUAUACACGCACGAGAGAUUCAAAGGGGGACGGGCGUACACCCUCCCGUUCGCUUUCGCGACAGGGAACGACGUGAUCGUCGUUGCCGGCUCGCCGAACAGACCUCCCCGGUCCGGAACGGCGGCUUCCCGCCGCUCUCCGCAGUUCACCUCCUUCCGUGUGUUUCACACUGGCGCCGAGAAAAAGGGGCCGCGAAAUCAUGAAAAAGUAUAAGAUUCGCGCGUUCACCCUCGACGCUUGGGAGGAGGCAGAAGCGGAUGAAGCGGGUCGCUUCCGUCGCUUCCGGAAACCGCGGCUCGGAGGACACCCCUGUUCGGAAAGAGUUAGCGUGGCGUUCGGGAAGGAGCCCUCCCACCAACCUUCGAAAGUCGUUGCCCUAUAUAUACGAAAGAACGAAAUAAACGAAAAAAAACCUCACACACAAGCGAUACACGGAGACGCGUGCGGAGACGGGCGAGACGCGUCGUUCGGUCUUCGAGGAAAGGCAGUUCCCGGCGGGUUUAAAAAGCGAGCCCGGGUGGUUCUCUGUCCGACGCCGAACUAUCUAAAAACCGUCGGCUUUCGCGGGGGUGCUCUUCACCGAGUGUCUCUCGAGGCCGGCACAUUCACUUUGAAAAAAUUAGAGUGCUCAAAGCGGGCAAAGACUUAAACAAUGCCUGAAUGGUGUCGCAUGGAAUGAUGGAACAGGACCUCGGUUCUGAUAUUUUUUAUCGGUUUUUUCUGAACCAGAGGUAAUGAUUAAAAGGGACUGACGGGGGCAUUAGUAUUGCGGCGCUAGAGGUGAAAUUCUUGGACCGUCGCAAGACUAACUACUGCGAAAGCAUUUGCCAAGAAUGUUUUCAUUAAUCAAGAACGAAAGUUAGAGGAUCGAAGGCGAUCAGAUACCGCCCUAGUUCUAACCCUAAACGAUGCUAACUGGCGAUCCGCUUGAGUCAUACCCACGACUGAGCGGGAAUCCCCCGGGAAACCAAAGUUUUUGAGUUCCGGGGGAAGUAUGGUUGCAAAAUCGAAACUUAAAGGAAUUGACGGAAGGGCACCACCAGGAGUGGAGCCUGCGGCUUAAUUUGACUCAACACGGGGAACCUUACCAGGCCCAGACACUGGAAGGAUUGACAGAUUGAGAGCUCUUUCUUGAUUCAGUGGAUGGUGGUGCAUGGCCGUUCUUAGUUGGUGGAGCGAUCUGUCUGGUUGAUUCCGAUAACGAACGAGACUCUACCCUACUAAAUAGUCGUCGGAUCGACUCCCGAGUCGGGUAAAUCUUCCUUCAGUCUCCGGGUUUAAAAGUCCGAAAAGGCGAGCUCCUUCCUCCGAAAAGCCGUCACGCAUAGCCUCCCCAUUAUGACAAGAAUUCCCGACGCAGCAUCACGAAGUAGUUCGAGUUCGUCAUUCUCGAAGAAUCUCUUCUUCGAGCGUGCGUUCCGUUCCUACGUGCAUGCCAAGCUGGGGAGUGUGUCUGCUUUGGCGUUCCGCUGGCGUGUUCGAGCUCCUAGGAGCGGAUAAAGCCGAUUAAAGACUCCCGUUGACGGGGGGCUGCUCGACGAGGGGCGUCCGUCGCAACUUCUUCUUAGAGGGAUCGGCGGCAUCUAGCCGCACGAGAUGGAGCAAUAACAGGUCUGUGAUGCCCUUAGAUGUUCUGGGCCGCACGCGCGCUACAAUGAAGGGCUCAGCGUGCUAUCCCCCUCCGAAAGGAGCGGGUAACCCCAUGAAACCCCUUCCCGAUUGGGAUUGGGGAUUGCAAGUGUUUCCCAUGAACUAGGAAUUCCUAGUAAGCGUGAGUCAUUGAACCCGCGAUGAUUACGUCCCUGCCCUUUGUACACACCGCCCGUCGCUACUACCGAUUGAGUGAUUCAGUGAGGGCAUCGCGACUGGCGCCCUCGGUAACCUUCGGUGUCCGUUCCCCCUCGGCUGGUCCACAGCGACUCUGGUCGAACGGGGAACUCCCUUAGGCACAUACCCCGGGCUGACGGAAAAAUGUCCGAACUUGAUCACUAGAGAAG
rnacentral:rRNA from 1 species